rnacentral:rRNA from 1 species
UACGUAGGUGGCAAGCGUUGUCCGGAUUUACUGGGCGUAAAGGGCGUGCAGGCGGUCUGUUAAGUCUAGGGUGAAAGCUCCCGGCUCAACUGGGAGAGGUCCUUGGAUACUGGCGGACUUGAGGGAGGCAGAGGAAAGUGGAAUUCCCGGUGUAGUGGUGAUAUGCGUAGAUAUCGGGAGGAACACCAGUGGCGAAGGCGGCUUUCUGGGCCUUACCUGACGCUGAGACGGCGAAAAGCGUUGGGGAGACAAACAG